GACGUAGGGCGCGAGCGUUAUCCGGAAUUAUUGGGCGUAAAGCGUCCGUAGGCGGCCAACUAAGUCAGACGUGAAAUCCCUCGGCUUAACCGGGGAACUGCGUCUGAUACUGGAUGGCUUGAGUUCGGGAGAGGGAUGCGGAAUUCCAGGUGUAGCGGUGAAAUGCGUAGAUAUCUGGAGGAACACCGGUGGCGAAGGCGGCAUCCUGGACCGAUACUGACGCUGAGGAGCGAAAGCCAGGGGAGCAAACGGG
rnacentral:rRNA from 1 species